rnacentral:siRNA from 1 species
UCAGAACGAGAUAUGGUCACACAC